UUUUUGUGUCAUAAUUUGUUUAAUGUCCAAUCCGAUCAACCCAUGAUAUAUUAAUUAUAGUUUAGUUUCAUAAUUUUUAAUAAAAAUUGAUCAAAGAAAUUAUAUAUAACAACAAAAACAUUAUAUAUGUAUAAAUAAAAUGAUCAAAUAUAUAAAAAAAUUGUCGAUAUUAUAUACAAAUAAACUCAUCCAACGCAAGGUGCAUCGCGCAUUUCUUAUCCUAGUAUACAUUAAAAGUAAAAUCAUCUCUAUAAUGAAAUUUCUAUGUUUUAAGAGGUUAUAGAAAUAAGUUGGAGAUGUUCUAGUAUUCAGUUUUUCUCCAUAUCUACAACAUUUUCCGAGUUCUUUCCUCACUCCCACUUGAUUUUAGAUAUGAAAUAAUAAAACCAAACUGACAUGAGCCUGGUUUUCGUUAGUCUUCUUGUUUAUUUUUAAAAACUUUCUACUACGUAAAAAGGAAUUUUAUCAAUGAUCAAAGGAGACAUGUUCUGGUAAACAAAGGUGACGAAACAACCACUAUUACAUUACAUCCAUAAUAGCUUGUAUUCUUUUUUUUCUUUUUGAACAAGAAUAGCUUUUAUUCUUCUUUUUUCGAUUUCGUUAAAGCUAACUUUUUCAAUAAGAGAGAAAGCCAACAACAUCAAUGAGGAUAGCAUGAACUUUUCUCGGUCUGAUUCAGAUAUGAGUUUUUAAAAUGUGCAUAAAUUAUUUACUUAGUAGAUGCUGUAAAAAAUUUAAAAAUCUGAAGGUUUGAAUGAAGUAGAAAGCAAGAUUUAUGAAGUGCGGACUCCCAUUGGCUGUAGUUUCAGCUGUGGAAUCCUUUGCCUCAUUACAUCAAAUUAUUUAAACAUUUAUAAACCUAAAUACAAAAUGUUUAUAUAAUGGCCAAACAAGGUAUCCAUAGAAACGUUUUACAUAACUGUCAAACACAACAGAUCCCCGAUCUUACAAUCAACAUUUCAUAUUUUACAAGAUGGGGAGAUGAUUCUAACGUAAAUA